rnacentral:rRNA from 1 species
CCUACUCCUACGGGAGGCAGCAGUAGGGAAUCUUCCGCAAUGGACGAAAGUCUGACGGAGCCACGCCGCGUGAGUGAUGAAGGUUUUCGGAUCGUAAAGCUCUGUUGUUAGGGAAGAACAAGUCCCGUUUGAAUAGAGCAGUACCAGACCUACCUACCGGAAUGGACCUUCCG